UCAACUGACUGAGCUACCCAGGUGCCCUAGCAUUGUGGAAUAUCCUGUCUGACUUUCCUUCCUUGAUGGGUCAUGGAGGUUGGGUAAGGACGAAACUUUUACACUGCUUGGGCUGCCAUAGUGAAAUACCACAGACUAAGUGGCUUAAACAACAGACAUUUAUCUCUCUUCAGUUCUCGAAACUAGGAAGUCCAAGCUCAAGGUUCCGGCAGAUUUGGUUCCUGGUGAGAGGCCUCUUCUUGAUGUGCAGACUUCUCACUGUGUCCUCAUGUGGCAGAAGGAACCUCAAUGAGCUCAUCUAAACCUAGUCACCUCCUGAGAGCCCCACCUCCAGAAUGGUGGCCUUCACAAAAUGAAAGGUGCAUAUGCCAGUGGAAGCAUAAGAUGAUCCAGGAAGUGCAGGAGGUAAUGUAGAACUUUGACUUUUAAAAGUCCUAUCCUUUUAAAAUACCCUUUUUCUCUUUGCAUGUUUUAUAAUGUACAUAAUAGAUCAGUACGAUAUUUUAUAUAUAAUAUACACAUGUAUAAUGUAUACACAUAUAUAAACUUAUAAUCAAAAUUUGGAGUGUGUUUAACUUUUCAGGGAAGGGUUAUAUGAUUGAAAGAGUGUAGAAUACUCACUACAAGAAUCAUUAAGCCGCUGCCCCGUCACAGCCUUAUGCUUGAUUCUGGUCUAAAAAUAAACACCUAAGCAAUUUAAACAAAAUUUUCAAACGGCUGAAUGCAAGUUUGCCAUCAACUUUUUGAGGUUAACCACAC